rnacentral:tRNA from 1 species
AAAGAUGAAGUACUUAACCGUGCAUUUUAGUUACAUUAAAAAGGACCUAGAGAUAGUUAGGCAUCUUUA